UAGGGAAUCUUCGGCAAUGGACGAAAGUCUGACCGAGCAACGCCGCGUGAGUGAAGAAGGUUUUCGGAUCGUAAAACUCUGUUGUUAGAGAAGAACAAGGACGUUAGUAACUGAACGUCCCCUGACGGUAUCUAACCAGAAAGCCACGGCUAACUACGUGCCAGCAGCCGCGGUAAUACGUAGGUGGCAAGCGUUGUCCGGAUUUAUUGGGCGUAAAGCGAGCGCAGGCGGUUUCUUAAGUCUGAUGUGAAAGCCCCCGGUUCAACCGGGGAGGGUCAUUGGAAACUGGGGGACUUGAGUGCAGAAGAGGAGAGUGGAAUUCCAUGUGUAGCGGUGAAAUGCGUAGAUAUAUGGGGGAACACCGGUGGCAAAGGCGGCUCUCUGGUCUGUAACUGACGCUGAGGCUCGAAAGCGUGGGGAGCAAACAGG
rnacentral:rRNA from 1 species